UCCGAGUUGACCCCGGCAGUCUCCUAUGAGUCCCCGCCAUAACGCGCUGGCAACAUAGAACGAGGGUUGCGCUCGUUGCGGGACUUAACCCAACAUCUCACGACACGAGCUGACGACAACCAUGCACCACCUGUAAACCGGCCCCGAAGGGAAACCGCAUUUCUGCGGCGGUCCGGUCCAUGUCAAACCUUGGUAAGGUUCUUCGCUUAUCAUCGAAUUAAACCACACGCUCCACCGCUUGUGCGGGUCCCCGUCAAUUCCUUUGAGUUUUAGUCUUGCGACCGUACUCCCCAGGCGGGAUGCUUAACGCGUUAGCUUCGCUACAGCAGGGGUCGAUACCUCCUACAGCUAGCAUCCAUCGUUUACGGCGUGGACUAC
rnacentral:misc_RNA from 1 species